rnacentral:rRNA from 1 species
GUCUAUGGCCAUGCCACCCUGAACAAGCUAAGCAGGGUUGGGCCUGGUUGGUACUUGGAUGGGAGACCACCUAUGAAGACCAGGUGCUAUAGGCG